GGCAUGGAAGGAUUUAACCAGUAAGUUGCAAACUUAUUUAAGCAUAGGCCCAAGCUA
rnacentral:tRNA from 1 species